GAUGAACGCUGGCGGCGUGCCUAAUACAUGCCAGUCGAGCGAACAGACGAGGAGCUUGCUCCUCUGACGUUAGCGGCGGACGGGUGAGUAACACGUGGAUAACCUACCUAUAAGACUGGGAUAACUUCGGGAAACCGGAGCUAAUACCGGAUAAUAUAUUGAACCGCAUGGUUCAAUAGUGAAAGACGGUUUUGCUGUCACUUAUAGAUGGAUCCGCGCCGCAUUAGCUAGUUGGUAAGGUAACGGCUUACCAAGGCAACGAUGCGUAGCCGACCUGAGAGGGGGAUCGCCCACAUGGGAACGGAGCCACGGUCCAGACUCCUCGGGGAGGCAGCAGUGGGGAAUCUCCCGAAAGGGGCGAAAGCCUGACGGAGCAACGCCGCGUGAGUGAUGAAGGUCUUGGGAUCGAAAACCUCUUUUAUGGGGGAAAAAAAAAUUUGUAAGUAACUAUGCACUUCUUGACGGUACCUAAUCAGAAAGCCACGGCUAACUACGUG
rnacentral:rRNA from 1 species